rnacentral:piRNA from 1 species
GAGACAGGAUGCAGAAGGGGCUGUGCUCGU